GAAGGAGUCAUCUUCUCCCCCAAUGCUUGUCACUUGGCCUCUGGCCAUCAAGCUGGAUGCCAUGUUCCAGGCAGUAGAGCUCCCAGCAGGCAUUGCCGAUCUGGACACCAGCCUGGCCGACGUGGAUGGAGAUGAACUCACACAUGAUAGCUACGGGUUAGAAGGGCAUAGAAGAAUCAUGAGAGGACUCAGCUGGAGGCUUCCUCCUUGCUGAUAGCUUUCAUAGAGCCAGGGGGUGAUGUGCAGGCUUCCAGGAGAGAAUUGUCACCGACGUCUCACCCAGCUGCUGACCCUGUGAGCUAUACUGCUAACCUGCUAGGCAUGAUAUGCCCGCGGGUGUGAUGGUGGCACAGAGGUAUGUGGUAACCAGUUACUUUCUGGUUGGAUUUAAGGCCUUUUCUCCAGGGGAGAAAUCAUGCCUGCUACUGUGAACCUGGUCGCAAGCCCAUGGCUGGGCACUCAGAGUUCUUAGUGGGCUACUGCUGGGUUUUUUGCUCAGUAGAGUAACUCUUUUCUUGUUUUCAUUGUUGGGAAGCACACACGGUUUCAAAGUUCCAUCACUUGGCCACACAACUAGGGGGUGGGGUUGCUGUCUAGCUAAGGUGCAGGGGUGAUGCCCUCUCCCCUGCUGAAGCUCAGAUGGCCUCCUCGGGGAAGGAGUGCAGCUAGAAAGAAAACUCGGGUCUCCUUACUGGCACUGUGGAACACCUCCCAAGACCACACUUCCUCCCUGGUUUUCAAGGGUACAUAAACAUAUGAUAAUGACACCUUCUACAAGCCACCCGAAAAUAAGGGUGCCUCAACCUACUUUGUCUACAGAUUCAUCAGAGCAAGAGGGUGCUGUCCGGAUGGGUCCCUCCACAAGCUCCAGUCAGAGAUGACUCCAUUCAGGUAAGAGCUCUGGUUCUGGACCAAGUGAUGCUUGCGUCUUCUCCUGGAGGGUGGGGUGUGCAGUUACUCCUGUUGCCUUCGGAGAUGGCUGAUGAUGCUACGCCAUGAAGCCUGCUGCAAUGAGGCGACGGCAGUAAAACGUGGGUGAAGGAUAAACAAGAAGUGAGUAGGUCAGGAUAGCCUUUCUGGAGCUCCUACAACUCCCGUUUGGCUUAUGCACCAUUUAGACUUAAGGGAGAAGAGAAAUAAAUCACCUUUUCUUUCCUGAUGUUGAGGGUACAUUUUUUUUCCUUUUGGUUUCCUUUUAUAUACCUGUGGUAUCGGGGGCAACUCACCAGCCAAUAGGACAAUGACCAGGCUCCAUCUCGGGCUUCCAGGUCACAGAACCCAGGGCAUCUACCUGCCAUGUUCUUUCCCACCUGGCACAUGUCCAUGUAUCUGCAGCCAGGGAAGCCGUUGGCUCUAGCACAAUCACUGGAACAGCAAGCCUGGCACAAGCCUCCGUCUCUGUGUGGCCUGGGUUUGUUGUGACAGUUACCCAUUCAAGUGGAGUCAGAUUAAAAUGACCAAAGGGUCCACUGUACCCUAGGCUCCCAAGGGAGUUCGAAAUGGCCUAAGAAGUGACUGAGAAGGACCUUUGAGGAGAGAGUAGUUUGCCUCCCCAGAGUUGAGGGGAGUCAGACAGAGCCUCUGCCCCCCAACCCCACGCUCCCAGCUGCACACCUGCACCCUUUAUUGUGGGGAUGCCACAUAGGGCAGCUCUCUACCCUACAACACCCCAAACCUUUGUGCUUGUUGGAGCAGAGGAAGGGAGCACAGAGAGGCAGACACACCCAUCUCAGUUCCCAGCCCCCAGCAAGUGUCUGGGCCAUCUCAGGCUCGCUCUGUCCUCUCUGCCUUUUCUGUCCCACUGUCCUGUCACCUCCAAAGCUGCUUGAGUACAGCUUAACCCAGAUCAGCACCCACACACGUCAUUAGUGCACAGCAAGAAUCAACAUCAAGCAAGGACCAUGUUUAAAAUACAGGCCGAUAGGGGUUUGAUCCUUAUUAUCUGAGAGCUUAGGCUUGCUUUGGACUUUUUUGAGGAUCAAAUGUAUCCCAGGUUGGCCCUGAACUAGGAUGGCAGGCUUACAGGCUUAGACCAACCACGGCCGGUUUAGAGAGAGAUCCUUCUCUUCUCUUCUCUUCUCUUCUCUUCUCUUCUCUUCUCUUCUUUUCUCAUUUUUCCUCAUCUCUUCUUUUCUUUUUCUUCUCUGCGUUGUACCUACAGCUUCAUAUAGCAAGUUCUCGACCUCUUAGUUGUAUCCUUAACUUCAGAAAACUUUAAAAAUUGAUCUUGACAAAUAUAAUAUGAUUCUACUUAUAGAAGGUACCCAGAGGUCAAAUUGAUGGAAACAAACAAACAAAAAAUACAGCAGAGAUCAGAACCCCAGUCAGUGUUUGAUGAGUUUGAGUUUAUAGUUUAGGGAGUUGCAAACUGUGAGAGACCGAAACAAAUAGAAAAGGAAAAAGAAACGAAGGAAGGAAGGAAGGAAGGAAGGAAGGAA
ensembl:lncRNA